UCCUAGGUGGUCUAGAGGCUAAGACUCUGCACUACCAAGGCAGGGGGCCUGGGUUCAAUCCCCGGUCUGGGAA
rnacentral:tRNA from 1 species